UACGGAGGGUGCGAGCGUUGUUCGGAAUCACUGGGCGUAAAGCGCGUGUAGGCGGCCCAUUAAGUCUGAUGUGAAAGCCCGGGGCUCACCCCCGGAAGUGCAUUGGAAACUGGUGGACUCGAGUCCCGGAGAGGAGAGUGGAAUUCCUGGUGUAGCGGUGAAAUGCGUAGAUAUCAGGAGGAACACCGGUGGCGAAGGCGGCUCUCUGGACGGUGACUGACGCUGAGACGCGAAAGCGUGGGGAGCAAACAGG
rnacentral:rRNA from 1 species